UACAGAGGUCCCAAGCGUUGUUCGGAUUCACUGGGCGUAAAGGGUGCGUAGGUGGUGAGGUAAGUCGGAUGUGAAAUCUCCGAGCUCAACUCGGAAAUGGCAUUGGAAACUACCUUGCUCGAGGGUUGGAGGGGGACUGGAAUGCUUGGUGUAGCAGUGAAAUGCGUAGAUAUCAAGCGGAACACCAGUGGCGAAGGCGAGUCCCUGGACAACUCCUGACACUGAGGCACGAAAGCUAGGGGAGCAAACAGG
rnacentral:rRNA from 1 species